rnacentral:lncRNA from 1 species
AGGGUUUGGCAUGGAAACAAUGGCCAGCAAAGCUUGGUAAAUGAAGCCGCCUACACCGCCCUGCCCCUCCCUGCACGGCCGCGCUCCGCCUCCGCUCCUAUCUCAAUUUGAAUUGUCCUCCUGCAGCCCCACCACCCACAGUGGGGAACCGGUGAAGAGACUACAACUCCUGGAUGCACCGGGAGGCGGGUGUCGCCCCGCAUCCCCCCGCCCUGGGCUAGGCGCACAGCGCAGCCCGGAGCAGGCUGGCAUCCUAGACCCUCUGCCCUGCCAACAACACAACAACAGCCGGGGAGUGGACCUGACCCCGGAACUCCCGAAAUUUCCUGAAGACGGUUCCGCUCCCUGCCUCGCCCUUCCAGGCAGCCCAGCAGUUUCGCCCUGCGGAGGGAAGCCUUUCUGUUCUCAAAUCUCUCGUGCUGGGGAGACAGUGGAGCUAGGGCGGCUAGUUUCCCCUUGUAAUUGUGACACCUUGUCUCCUCGAGCUGCAGGCUAAUGCUUGUCGUGUUCGUAGUUUGAUUUCUCGCAGAUCAACAAAGGGCCGGUGGCCUCUCUCGGCCUCCGCGGGAGGGUUGCCAG